GGCCGGGUGGCCGAGUGGUUCUAGGCGCUACGGUCUGGAACCGCGGCCGCAGGUUCGAAUCCUGCCUCGGGCA